UCUCGCGAGUGGCAGGCAUGAUAACAAACUCCGGAGGGUCACAGGCAGGUUCGAGUUGCCAUUGCUGGGGUGGUUCUGUCGUGCCAGGAGGCUCUCCGAGACUGGUUCCUGGUCACUGCCUGGUCUGCUGGUGUGAAGCACGUGGGGUGUGCUGAGGGCCCUGGGAAGGUCCUGGCGGAGCUGUGUACCAGCUGUGGAAGUCGACCGCGCUUCCCCUUCAGUUUUAUGUAUUUAUGGAAAUGGUUUUCGCCUGUCUUGGCAAGUUAUCCAAAGAAACCUGUAACUUCUUACCUUUGAUUUUCUAAAGAACAACUACCCAUAUUUAAAGCUCAGAACCCAGAUGCAAAAAAUACAGAACUAAUUAGAAGAAUCGCUGAGCAUUGGACGGAACUUCCCAAUUCAGAGAAAAAAAAUAUAUGAAGAUGCUUAUAGGGUGGACUGGCAGGCAUACAAAGAAGAGAUAAGCAGAAUUCAAGAACAGCUAACUCCAAGUCAGAUUAUGUCUUUGGAAAAAGAAAUCAUGCAGGAACAUUUAAAAAGGAAAGCUUUAAUAAAAAAGAGAGUUAACACUGCUUGGAAAACCAAAAUGAUCUCGUUCAGCUUAUAACAUUUAUGUAGCUGAAAGCUUCCAAGAAGCUAAGGAUGGUUCACCGCAGGCAAAGCUGAAGACUGUAAAUGAAAACUGGAAAAAUCUGUCUGGUUCUCAAAAGAAAGUAUAUAUUCAACUUGCUAAAGAUGAUAAAAUUCAUUAUUAUAAUGAAAUGAAGUCUUGGGAAGAACAAAUGAUUGAAGUUGGACGAAAGGAUUUUCUACGUCGCAAAAUAAAGCAACCACCUUUAAAAGAUGGCACUGAGAAGUGUUAGAAGUUCACAAUGGAUAGGCACAAGAAACCAGCUGGGUCUCAACGCCUGAAGCUAUCGUAAAAUUAGAAAGGAUAAAGUCGGUAAACCUUUUAUAUUCAAUUUCUUUUUCUUCAGGUCAUGGACUUCUGCCAGUGUAAUACUUGCUUUGGAAAACCCAGAUAAAGGUUUAUGCAAAAUGUAUUUUGUGUUUAGGAACUACUGAGGAUCAGAGUAAUCCAUGCAAAUGUGAAUCAUUUUACCUUUGAUAAAGGUAAAUCAGACUAUGAGGUUUUUUUUUACACAGGAUCAUGACUAUGGAAAGAGUAUUCUUGUUGCCCUAUAUUAUGGAAGCAGGAGUUUCCUUUUCAAAAUUGUUACAAAUUGUAGAAGCCACAGUGUUCUGUGAUACAAUUGUGCAUUUUUCAAAAAGCAGCCAGAAUUCGUCUAGGUAAAUUCCAGUUCCUAGGUAUAAUUAAUAUUAUAUUCAGAGUUGAUGGUUAUACACAUAAGUGAUGGCUGGUUUUAGUUGCAACUUUUUAUAAAAGGGACUGAGAAAUUUAUAAACCUUUUUCUCACUUUUUUUCUAAAGUAAAAACUAAUAAAUUAUGUACCAGAUCUAUGCAUAUUAUUUUAUGUUGCAUAGGAUAAACAUUCUAAUCUUUAACUUUACAUUGCCUAAUUAUAUAUUUUAAGAUGAAACAUUUGUUUUACAGCUUUCCCCCUACCCUUUUUUUUUUUUUUCUGGAGACAGAGUCUCGCCCUGUCGCCCAGGCUGGAGUGCAGUGGUGUGAUCUGGGCUCACUGCAACCUCCGCCUCCCAGGUUCCAGCCAUUCUCCUGCCUCAGCCUGCCGGGUAGCUGGGACUAAGGCGUGCACCACCGUGCCUGGCUAAUUUUUGUAUUUUUCAGUAGAGACGGGGUUUCACCAUAUUGGCCAGGCUGGUCUCAAACUCCUGACCUCGUGAUCCUCCUGCCUUGGCCUCCGAAAGUGCUGGGAUUACAGGCAUGAGCCACCAUGCCUGGUGCCUUUCCCUUUUUUUAAGUAAGGAAAUAUAUUUUUUUCUGAAUUAUUUUCUCUCAUGCGAGUAUAUUGAUCCAGAAAGAAAACUUGCAUUGUAUAUAUUUUAAAAUGAGAAAUCUAAAAAAAAGAGAAGUAUCCAAAGUCUCUGGAAUUUGAAACACUUUGCAUAACGUAUUAAAGCCUGUAUAAGAGACAGCCAACUAUGGCCUGUGGACCAAAUCCAGCCUGCUGCCUGCUUUCUGUGUCCUGUGAGCUAGGAAUUGUGUUUAUAAUUUUAAAUGCUUUGUUUUUAAAGACUUUUAUGAUACAUGAAAAUUAACAUGAAUAUUUAGUGUUCAUAAAUAAAGUUUAUUGGAACACA